AUGGAUCUGUAUGUCCACUUCAUAUGCCUUCAUGGCCUACUGCUUACUUAUCUAAGCACAGGGAUAACUUAACCUUUAUGUUUUUACCUUAAUAAUAUGUUACUGUUACUUGCACCAAAGACAAGUAAUUAUGCAUAUUUUCAGUUAAACCAGCAUUUCAUAAAGUUGUGUGUAUUCAAGCUUGUGAAAAAGUGGUGGGCCACGGGUUCUAUGUGUGACAUAAAGAAGCAAUCGAAGAGAAUUGUGCUGACUGAAGAUUCAGGAUAUUGAGGCAUGACUACAGAUCAGUCCUUGAAAAUUGUUAAAGACACUUAGCACAGGAAACCAGUGUUUCACUAGGAUCUGCUUUCACAGCCACAAAGUUAAUCAAAUUUCACCUGUAUAAAAUAACAGUUGUGCAUGAGCUGAAACAACCAGAUUAUGCAGCAAGAAUUUGUUUUUGCAUCUGGCUACUGCAAAAUGUGCACAAUGGAAUCAUGGGUCCACAGCUUCUGUUCAUGACUGAUGAAGUGUGGUUUCAUGUUAGUUGCCAUGUCAGUGCACAAAAUGUAAGAAUAUGGAGCAAUGAAAAUCCUCAUGCUAUACAGCAAGUGCUGUGACAUGGUGAAAAGGUGGGGGUGUGGUGUGCUGUAAGUUUGCAGUGAAUCAAGGGCCCUUAUUUUUCUAUGAAACCGUGAACUCUUGACUGCUACGCUAAUGAUAUACUGAACCUGUUCGUCAAUCAGCUGACUGCUGAAGAAAGACAAUGGAUAUUUUCAGCAAGACAAUGCUACGGCACAUAUGACUAAUGCAUCCAUGGUCCCAAUAUGGGAAGUGUUUGAAGACAAAGUAAUCAGCAGGGGAUUGUGGCCUCCCAGAUCUCAGUUUUUGUGAUUCUUAUCUUUGGGGAAACCUAAAGAGAAAAGUCUACAAGAAUAAUCCUCGCACCACUGAAGCUCUGCAGAAUGAAAUAACAUGCGUAAUUGGUUCAGUUACCAUGGACAACUGCAGAAAGUGUCACAUAAUUUAUUUAUGUGAUGCAAGGCAUGUUUGCAAGCAGAAGGGGGUCACUUUCAGCACCUGUUAUAAAGCAAGUUCUGGAGAAGCAUCAGCGAAGAGGGCGCUGUCAUAAUUGUCAAUCUCAGAGUGAGCCUGGAGCCUGCACAGAGCUACUCAUCCCCUGCACAAUAGGGAGGGUGAUGGAGGUAUCGGGAUGGAGAGCUACAGAAUUUCAUUUUCUACAAGAUAGUUCACAAAAGGUACUUCUUGCCAGCAACCUGUGAGUUAACAGCCCAGGGAUUCUCGUGGACGAUGUCGUUCUCCUCCGUGGCAAACAGGACUGCCACUCGACUGCAGUCAUUCAGAUGGGAGAUUAUGGAGCAUGCACCAUAUAGUCCAGACCUCGCCCCCAGUGAUUAUGUGUUCGGUCCACUGAAGAAGUUCCUGGCAGGCCAGAGGUUCAUUUCAGACGAUGCGAAAACUGCUGUCCAGCAGUGGUUCCGUGCUGAACCGGCCAAAUUCUACAACAGCAGUAUCUCAAACUAGUGGUGCGAUGGGACAAAUGCGUGAACUGGGGUGGUGACUAUGUGGAAAUAUAGUCGAAGGUACUUAGAACACUGCCUGUAUUUUGAUUUCUGUGUAUGUGUAUUAUCAUGGCUGAAAAAAAAAAUGGGCAAAGACUUUUCAAUUUGCCCUCAUAUAUUAAUACAAAUAUUAUAUUUUUGGACAUUAUCCAUGGUCUUGUCUUUAUCUAAAAAUUCUGUUUUGAAAAAUAAAGAGGACAGUUUUUAUAUAAAGACAAGGCGAUGGAUAAUUUUCAAAAACAUAAUAUUUGUGAACAUGAAUGUUAUAUGGGUGGAGUGGGAGGCCAUGCCCCUCAGGAUGGCUGGGCACCAGUAAUGGUUGUAAUGCAAGGUGUAUGGAAUUACCAGCUUCAAAAUCCAGAUGUGACAGGCUUAUUUUGGACUGUCUGAGGUAUUUGAUAUGCACAGUGUUUUGGGAACUGACUGUAUUAUCAUCUUGGCAUGAUUAGUUGUAAUUAUAACAAGAUACUUUUAUUAUUGCUAAUUUAACAUAAAGAUUUUGAACCCAAGGCCAGUAAGCUGACCAGUGGAGUGACCCAGGAAUUGUAAAUCUACUUACAUUACACAUUUGGUUACUAUGAGUCUAAUAGUGGGGAAGCCACAUGGAAGUUAUGUCUGUGGUUGGUUGAGGGCCUGUUCUGAUGACUCCAGAGAGUUACGGUUUCCUGGUGAUCCUCACAUCAGCCAACCAAGUGUCGAUGUGGCUCUCCCCACUAUGAGAGCGGGAGUAACCAUGUGUGUAACAUAAGUGAAGAGUAAUGACAAGAGUCCCUGAGCCACCCCAGUGGUCUAGUGAUUAAUGUAUCAGCCUGGUGUUCAGUUCCAACCACAGACACUGAUUUCUGAAAUAAUUAUUAAAAUUAAUUUUGCUGUACAUUAUGAUCCAGUAACUUAAUAUUUUGCUUUGCAGGUGACCAGGUCCACGUGCAGUAUUAACACGGGGCAACCUUGGCAUGCAGGAUUGAGGAAAAAAGGUAAAUUGAAGUUAUAAACAUGUCUGAAUAUUAAAUUGAAAGUAGAUGUGUGCUUCUGUAUUUAUACAUGUUGAGUGAGUUCUAUUGUACUCAGCAUUUCACUGUAUCAGGUGCAACUAUAUCACGUAUUGGUUACUUUUAGUGAUCUUCAGGGACUGCCAUACAUGCUGAAGUUUAAAAACAGCGUGUGGUGAGAGUCCCCAGAAGAUGGCUGAAAGAAGCCAAUGGUAUUUGUGAUAAAUAGCUGUAAUUAUUGAGGGAAAUUUUAUGUAAUUUUAUUUUGUAGAGGAUAAUGAAAACUAAUGUGAGAUUUUUAUUUUUGCAUUGCAGGGAGGACGAUGAGAGGUAUCGGAGUUCUGGCGUGGAGGAGGACAUGUACGAGUGUGCCACGGAAUUUCAUUUUCUACGAGAUAGUGCGCAGAAUGUACUUCAGUUUUUCCCAGCAUCUUUUCCUCCAUUUAUGCUCCUCCUCUUUCUCCUUUAUAAUCCUCUAGUACUUUUUUCCAUUUCCUUUCUUUUGAACUUCAUUACAUUCUUGAAGAGUAAUAACUGUGUAUACAUAAUACAUUUUUGUGAAUUAUAUAAUUUAAAAUUUGAUUACAUUCUUGAAACUUCAUAAAUAUGUGCACAUGUACACUGCCUGUGCAUUAUAUAUAAAUACAGUGUAGCAUCACAUGCAUACUAGCAACUUACAAGGAAGACAAAAAGCAGAAGUUCUUGAAGAAAUGUGGUGCUGGCAGAAAUUGAAGCCCUUUGUGCGCACUAUCUCCUGAGAAAUUAAAUUUUGUGGCACCCCCAUACAUAUCCUCUCCAGUGUGAAGCCAUCCAUAAGCUUCCCAGUGUUCUCCACAACCUGGAAACAAACAGAACAAAAUCAGUAUUGUUACACUUCUCAUAGCAAUGUACUACUCCAUCUUAACUUAUUGGUACUCUGUUGAAGGAAAUUCCCUUUACACAAGUAACUUAAGAUGGAGGCACUACAUUGCUUAACAUAAGUUGCUGUAAGAAAACUUUGAUCACAAAUAAACAUAUUCCAAGUGACUGAAACCAGUCACUAAUUUUUGGCAA